UUUUUAGUAUAAGUAUGUUCUAUGUGAUGUUUGGGACAUAUUUAUGCUAAAU
rnacentral:pre_miRNA from 1 species